rnacentral:rRNA from 1 species
GAGUUUGAUCAUGGCUCAGGAUGAACGCCGGCGGUGUGCCUAAUACAUGCAAGUCGUACGCACUGGCCCAACUGAUUGAUGGUGCUUGCACCUGAUCGACGAUGGAUCACCAGUGAGUGGCGGACGGGUGAGUAACACGUAGGUAACCUGCCCUGUACAGGGGAUAACAAUCAGAAAUGACUGCUAAUACCGCAUAAGACCACAGCACCGCAUGGUGCAGGGGUAAAAACUCCGGUGGUACAGGAUGGACCCGCGUCUGAUUAGCUGGUUGGUGAGGUAACGGCUCACCAAGGCGACGAUCAGUAGCCGGCUUGAGAGAGUGAACGGCCACAUUGGGACUGAGACACGGCCCAAACUCCUACGGGAGGCAGCAGUGGGGAAUAUUGCACAAUGGGGAAACCCUGAUGCAGCAACGCCGCGUGAGUGAAGAAGUAUUUCGGUAUGUAAAGCUCUAUCAGCAGGGAAGAAAGUGACGGUACCUGACUAAGAAGCCCCGGCUAAC